AACAGAGGCGAGUUAGAUAUCUUAGACUUAAAAUGAAACCGAAAAGUAGAGGUAAAAAAAUCUGGUCCCCGUCGCAACGGCGCCAAAACUUGAUACACUAAAUAUGAAUCCUUGCUACUGCCAAGUUAACAGUUGUGAUUAUAGUACUUUAGAUUCAAUCCAGAGGACCAGUCUACACUUUACUCUUAUAAAUUUCAAUAUCAAGCUAAGAAGAAAAUGGUUUUUAAUUCAAUUGGUGACGCAGAAAACAAGUAAACUAGAGAUUGAUUCAAUUUAAAAAGCGGCUAGCCUAGGGUAUUUCAUUGGGUGUUGAGCGAGAGCCAAACAAUUAUUCAAGCGCGGUGCAGUGCUUUCUAGAACUCGGAUCACUCAGCUGGAACACCCCACUGUCGUGGUGGUGAUCUCUUUGCUGGUCGAUCCCAUCAUCUAACUGUCGUUGAGAUGAGAAGCGACUGCAAGCCUUAGAGGUCAGGUCCGAUCAGUUCACUUACUACCCUAAUAUCUACUUUCGCUGAUCAGGGAUACUAAGCUCAUUCAAUACAUGUCAAGCUAUCUCCUAAGCGGUUAGCUAGGCGAUAAACUUAGGAUCUAAUAUCAAGUGAUCAGACUAAUGGAAGCCUUAAGAAUAGUAUGGAUGAAGAAUAAUCAAGAAUAGCUUAUCUAUGUUUAGCUCAUAUUUCAACACCCUAAAAACCCUAGGCGAGCUAGAUCACUACUCAAUCAUGAUGCAAGCAAACAAACACAUAGAUACUGAAUGAAAUUGCAUAAUAAUAAGAGUAGUAAACAAGGGUUCAGAAGGUCUUCUCUAUGAGAGAAUGGAUUCUUCUCCCUUACAAGUUGCAGAUCGCAAAAGCUAAUAGUUCUCUUGUAAAAACUAGCGUCUGAAAUAAAAUAGGAUAGGUGGCGUCUUUAUAUGGAGGCGCCAAUAGGUAGAAGAGAAAUUAGGGCAACAAGGCCUUAAUUCCCAAAAAUAGAAGCUUCCUUAUUUGUCGGGAACAACCUCGGGAUCACUCCGUCUGCUUGUUCUGCUUGAGAACAGUCUCGGGACUGUUCGUCUUGAGUGUUCUCCGCAAAAUGCUCCAAAAGGACAGCUUCUCUUCAAGCACGCUUUCUUCAUUCUUCUACCAACUCCAGACCUGUAAGAGAUCAAAAAGGACUAGAUUGACUCGGAUUAAGGACUCGAAUCAAUACAAAAACACCUAUACAAUGAUGUGAAAAACACCAUAUAUCAAUAUGUGAUUUGAAGAAUAUCUCUAAUUUUGUAGGUGGUGGAUUGUUUUUUCGUGACCUUUGCUCGAGAACUUUGCAGAAAGAUCGUCUCCAAAUUCUAAAAAAAAACAUUAUUUUGAUCAUCUGCAAUUUAGAGAAGAUCUUUCCACCAUCAUUUUUUUACGUGAUGUAACAUCUCCCUAUACACCUCCCCUAUGAAGCUGAAUUAGGAGGACCUGUCAAUUAUAGGUUGAUGUAUAUCUUUGAAAGGAAUUUCAAAAAGUUGAAAGCAAAAGCAAAGAACAAAAGAUUUGUUGCUGGAUCGAUUGUUGAAUCAUAUAUCAAUGAGGAGAUUGCUUACUUUUCUGAGCACUACUUUGCUGAUCAUAUACAAACAAAAUCAAGGUAAAGACCUUCAUUAUCCUGCAGAUUCCUUUUUUCUUGUAUACUCGUGUUCUUACUUCAAUGUAAUGUGGUCCAUUAAUUUGUGCAGGUUUACACGAUUUGAUGAAGGUGAAGUUCAUGUAUACUGUGUCAGCGGAGUACCUGAUAUAUUUACACAUGUAGGUCGGUCGACAAAUGCAUCAGAUGAAGCUGAUUACUAUGGGAUCUUAACUGAUAUCAUUCAAAUUGAGUAUGAGGGGGCAGUGAAUUUGAAAAUUACACUUUUUAAGUGUAAGUGGUAUGAUCCUAUGAUUGGUAGAGGCACUCGGCGGAGCAAUGGUGGCAUCGUGGACGUUCUUUCAUCGAGGAAAUACUAUAAAUACGAACCAUUUAUUCUAGGUACGUACGUAUUAUUUAUACAUAUUAAUUAAUAUAAAUAAAUAUGUAUUAUUAAAUUUUUAUUAUAUGAUAACAGCAUCUCAAGCACAUCAAGUUUGUUAUAUCCCGUAUCCGUACGUAAAGAAACCAAAGCAGUUGUGGUACAAUGUUUUAAAAGUGAAUCUGAGGGGAAUCAUUUCAGGAGAAUACGAAGACAGCGAACCGGCAGUGUUACAACAAGACAAUGAUGAUGCUGUAUUGAUGACUACAAUUGAAGAUAUACCAGUCGACCAUUUGUUACAUGCUCAAGGAGAACCGAUUAAUCUUGAUAUUGAUGUCGAAGAUGCAGAACCGGAGGAUGAAUUCCAGUGUAAUCUAUCCUCGACUUCUUCUGAUGAUGAAUGUGAAGAUGGAGAAACACCAUCCUAAAAUGUUUUACCAUAACUUAUUAAGUCAUAUCCCUAAACUUAUGUUCUUUACUUUUAAAUAAUGUGUUGUUUACUUCCUAAUAAUGUGUUUUUAUAUUGUUAAGUGUUAUAUCCUAAAUUGCUAUAUCCAUUGAUCAAAAAAAAAUUUGCUAGACCCUAAAUUGUUAUAAGCAAAGAAAAAUAAAAUUUUAAACCCUAAAUUGUUAUAAGCAAAGAAAAAAAAAUUGCUACACCCUUUACCCUAAACCCGAAUUUUCCCCCUGAAUUUUUCUAAGUCCCCCGGUAAAGUGUAAACCCAAUUGAAAAAUUUUCCUAACUCCCGCCUAACCAAUUAAUCAAAUCCCGCUAAGCCCAAUUUUUAGACCCAAAACCAAAACAAAACCAACCUAAGCCUAAUACACUCAGACAACCGCAUCUCACUCUCUUUCGAUUAGAAAGAACCCUAAUCUCUCACCCUCCCUCGAAUCUCACUCUCUUUUGAUUCCACCGAAACCAUAGAACCCUAAUCUCUCACCCUCGCUCGAAUCUCACUCUCUUUCGAUUCCACCGAAACCAUAGAACCCUAAUCUCUCACCCUCUCUCGAAUCUCACUAUGUCCAAUUCCUAAUCGCUGAAUUCCAGAAACGCCUCAUCUCUCUUUUGAGACCUAAAGAACCCUAAUCUCUCAUCUCUCUUUGAAACGAUGUCAUCAAAAAAGAAGCAGAAAGUUUCAAAAAAAUCUCCCCUUCCCUCGCAGUACCAUUUCGUUCCUAAGACGACAGCUCCUCCUGUCCCCAACCGCCGAUCUCCACCAGGCGUGAGUGACUACCCACCUCCGAGGCAGCUCUUCCAAGACUCAGAGGCCCAAACUCAAGCUGCUUCAGGGCCUCUUCAUCAACCAUCUCCACCGCCUCUUCAUCAACCAUCUCCACCGUCACAAUCUCGACGGUCCGAAACGUCAGCGACGCGACGUUCUCCCAGCAGGUCUCAGUCUCAAGACUCUGCGAGUACAGAAAGUCCAGAAGCUGUGGAACCGACGCUCUCUGAUGAGCAGACUCGUUUACUCAACCAACUGCUAUCCCAGCCAAACUGGGGCACUGACAUACCAAUCCUUUCUCCAGCCUUUGAGCCUGGAACAACAUGGUUUGGUCGUGACAAAGGGAAACUGACCCGGAGGAUCACAAAGACUUUUACAAAAAAGUUUGAUGAAGCUUAUUACAGUUGGAGUGUUGUGCCUCAGAACAAAAGAGAGACGAUAUUUGUAGAAUUUGCAAAAACUCACACUUGGGAUCAAAUACACACUGGUAUUGUUCAGGAGAAGUUUGAGGCGGUAUGUCAGCGACGUAUGAAGAACAUGGUUAGCGUUCGUAGGAGGUCACGAGUGCGACCACCCUGGAUCCACGGUGAACUGUGGGAACAAAUGACUGCGUAUUGGGACACUCCCGAAGCGGAAAAAAGAGUCAGACAGCAUCGGACUCUCGGUUGUCUGACCGGAACGGACUUGGUCCACACAAGCACAACUCCGGCCAGAAGUCUUUCGAACAAAUCGAACAUGAAAUGGUUGAGAAAUUGGGCAGACCAGUUACUCUUGGUGAAGUUUUCAUGGAGACACAUACAAGAAAGGAUGGGACCUUUGUCGAUUUGAAAGCAGAGAAGGUUGCAGAGAUGUAUAAGAAGAACAAAGAAGCCAAGUUGACUGCCCUUGAGGCUGAAAACUCACAGACUUCAGACAGUGCUUCCAAUGAUCCACAGCUCUCCAUAGAGGAGGAUAAUAAGAUAUUCCUUUUGUCAACUUUCACAAAUGAAAGAGGACAGCACUAUGGCAUUGAAAGCCUCCAGCAAACUCUCGUCAAUGGGAAACGGACGUUCAGUGAAUUAUCUUCAUCUGCAUUCCUCGACAUGAAGAAGCUUCUUGAAGAUGCUCACCGCAAAAUAGAAGAGCAGGCUGCUUCUAAUGCAGCACAUGCUGCUAUUAUUGAAGAGCAAGGUGCUUGUAUUGCAGAGCAAUCAAAGCAGAUCAAGGAGUUCUCUAUAGUGGGGAAGUUUCUAGCUGCAACUAAUCCAUUAUAUAAUGAGUUUGUAGCUGCUAAUACCAGCACCUGAUCAUGCUUUCCUGUUUAUUUACCUAGAAACUUAUGACUUUUGUAAGUUCUUUUGUUUAGUUGCUUGUUUCAAACUUUUGGAGCUUUAACAUUUUCAGUUUCAAUAUUAACCACUGCUUUUUAAUUUUACAAUGCUCGAUAGCAUAGAUUUAUUAGCAUUACAAACCAGAAAGCACCUAAAAUCGGAAUGGCAAAUUCAAAGAAACAAAAUGAAGAGUCGUAAUUCAGUUGGAUAAAAUUACAACAUUUUACGACUAAACCGCGACUGAUAAAAACAUGUAGUCGCGAAGUAGUCGCAACAUUAGCGACUGAACUGCGACAACAACUGUGACUACACUCAGACUAAACAGGUAGUCGCUAAAUGGUUGCAAAAUUAACGACUGCAUUGGGACUACAUCAGUGACUACACUCGGACUAAACAAUUAGUCGUUAAACGGUCGCAAAUUUAACGACUACACUACGACUUCAUGCUCCGACUAAUUGAUGACUCCUAAUAACCGACUGAUUAACAACUGCUGAUAAACUAAGUAAUUGACUAAAAAUAGUCCUAUAUUGGACGUGAAGCAAUCGGAGUGUAGUCGUAACACAUUAUGACUAUUAGACGACUAUAUGCCGACUGAAUUGUUUAGUUGUAAAUGUGUCGUAGAACAGUCGUAAUAUAGCGACUGAUUUACGACCAAUAUAACUACUGACGCGUUGAUUGACGACCAUGCUUAGUAGUCGCUAUUCAGUCGUAAAACGUCAUUUGCGACUGUUUCGCUUCUGAUUCUGCAGUCGGGAACUACUUGUUUUCUUGUAGUGCUCCCGCAGUUGGAGCGUGGGUUUGAUCACGCCAAGACUGGAUCUGAAGUCUGUAAACAAGGUCGUUGGUAGGCCCUUUGUGAAGAUGUCAGCGUACUGGAGAGUAGCAGGUAUGUGCAUUACUCUAACUUCACCCAUUUUUACUUUUUUUCCCGUACGAAAUGGAUGUCUAUCUCAAUGUGCUUUGUACGUUGAUGCUGUACCGGAUUCGUUGAGAAGUAUACCGCACUAACAUUGUCACAGUAUACCAAUGUAGCUUGUUGAAGUGGAUUGCCCAUCUCGAGGAGGAGGUUUCGUAGCCAGCAAGCUUCAGCUACCGCAUUCGCCACGACUUUGUACUCAGCCUCCGCGCUUGUUCCUGAAACAGUGGGCUGGCGUUUUCUGACCAUGAGACCAGGUUGUUGCCAAGAUAGAGACAGUAACCGGAAGUGGAGCAUCUUUUUGUUGGACAUCCACCCCAAUCAGCAUCAGGUAAAGCCGUUAGCGUCAAUUUCUGUUGUCUUAGAAGCUGUAGACCGAGCUUUUUGGUACCUUGUAUAUAGCGGAUAACGCGUUUGAGAGCAAGGAGAUGGCCUUCGCGUGGAUCGUGCAUGAAGAGGCAGAGUUGUUGCACCGCAUAGGAUAUGUCUUGUCUAGUGAAUUUCAGGUAUUGUAGAACCCCGGCCAAGCUUCGAUAUUCAGUCGGAUUCUGGAGUGGUUUGCCUUCAUCUUCCGAGAUUUUUGAUUUCAAAUCCACCGGUGUAGCGCAUGGUUUGCACUCGGACAUUCCAGCUCGUGCAAUGAUGUCCUCAGCGUACUUGGACUGAUUUAGAAAUAACCCUUUGUCGUUGAAUGUAGUUGAGAUGCCAAGGAAAGAAUGGAUGAUGCCUGAAUUUGACAUAGGAAACUCUGACUUCAGUAGCUUAAUGAUCGUUUCCUUUAGAGUUGUCGUCGAGGCUGUGAUAAUGAUGUCGUCGACGUAUAGAAUCAGAUAGGCUUGUACUCCAUUUUUCCUGUAUAUAAACAAGCUUGUACUCCAUUUUUCCUGUAUAUAAACAAGCUUGUAUCCAUUUUGCUUUGCUCAAAACCAGCAUUAGUAAUAAAAUUCAUAAAGCGAGCAUUCCAAACCCCUGGGGCUUGUUUAAGGCCAUAGAUAGAUCGCUUAAGCUUACAUACAUGAUUUGGUUUUGAUUGAUUAACAAACCCAUGUGGCUGAAACAUGAAGACAGGUUCAUCGAGUGUGCCAUGGAGAAAUGUGUUUUGCACAUCAAGUUGAUGUACAUCCCAGUUAUUGGCAAGAGCUAGGUGUAGCAGCGUGCGUAUGGUGGCUGGCUUGACGACAUGGCUGAACGUUUCGCCGUAGUCUAUGCCAUGCUCCUGGGAUUUUCCAUUAGCUACCAGUCUCGAUUUAUGUUUCCUGAAAACACCAUUAGCAUCAUACUUGUGCUUAUGAAGCCACAUUGAUCGCACUAUGUUAGUGUUUGGAGGCCUUGGCACCAAAUCAUAAGUAUCACUUUUAAUAAUAGCAUCAUACUCGACAUUCAUGGAUGGAUUCCAAUUUGGAUCAUCUAGAGCUUGAAAAUAGCUUUUUGGUAAAGGUGAUUGAGUUUGAGUAAGAAGUGAGAAAAUCUUUUUGGGUUUGGAGAUGCCAUGUCUUGAUCUUGUUGACAUAGCGUGCCUAGGUUCCUCUGUUGCUACUUGAGCAACUUGAGUUGGCGCCCCCUGUUGUGGAGACUCUACAACCGGAAGAGUUGGUGUAGAUGAAGUCUGAAGUAUUUGUUUGAAGAUAGGAGAAGGCUCGGUUUCAUGUAACAAGAAGUCAUAGGAGAUAGGUUUGUUCUGUUGAGAUUUUUCAUAAAGAAAGCUUGUUUCAUCAAAGUUCACAUUUCGUGAGAUGAUGAUCCGUCUGGUGUCGAGAUCAUCACACAUGUAUCCUCGAUGAUCGUGAGGAUAGCCAAAGAAAACACAUUUAGAGGAUCUUGGUGAGGGUUUAGGAAGAUGAGUGUGGUUGAUGUUUGGGUAACAUAAGCAACCAAAUACUUUUAAGUGUGAGUAUGAUACCGGUUUGUUAAAAAGAACAGAGAAAGGGCUCCUGUUUUGAAUGGCCUUUGAGGGUAAGAGGUUGAGGAUAUGGACAACCGUAUGAAGAGCUUCUACCCAAAAAGUUGAUGGUAGAUGAGCUUGAAAGAGUAGGCUACGCAUUGCAUUAUUAAUUGUGUGUAUCAUCGUCUCAGAUUUUCCGUUUUGUUGAGAAGAGUAGGGACAUAAAAAACGAAAGGUUAUGCCCUUUGUAGCGAAGAAAUCAUGAAACUGUUUGUUAUCGAACUCACCACCGUUAUCACAUUGAAGUGACUUUAUGUCUUUACCAAAUUGGUUCUUGACAUAGGUGGUGAAGUUUAGGGACUUCAUCUUCAACCUGCAAAACAAUUCCUAAGAUUGUCUAGAACCUAUGGAAUCAAGUGUUGAGAAGCAAUUUUUGCUAGAGAAAAAGUGUUUUGGAUUUAAGGUUUAUAAUAUUGUAGUCACUAAUGUUAGCAACUAACUUAUAACCAAAUUAGAAUUGAGACUAAUUAGCAACUAUUUUUUUAUACUAAAGCGUAACAGAAAAAGUGGUAUAAAAUUUUGUGCAACUACAACUAUUAGUUAAAAUAGUUGCUAAUUUACCACCGAUUAAAUAGUUUCACCGUAGUUUCACCGCAGUUAAAAUAGUUGCUUUUUUUGCAACUAAUUUGCAACUAAAUAUUUUCUGCGACGAGGUUUUUUUAACUACAUUUAGUAGUUACAAAAUAGUUACAUUUUCGAUAUUUGCAACUACCUUGUAACUAUUGUUGUAGUUGUAAAAUUGAUGUUUUCUUGUAGUGAGAGUUUUACAAUGUCAAUUUUUUUUUUUUUACAAUUAAUACUAUUUUUAUUAUUUUUACUUUCUCUUUUAUAAAUAGAAUAUUACUUGGCAGUUUCUUACUGAUAAUUACUUUAAUGGUGAACAUAUAUAUUCACCUUAGGUCUUUAGAAGGUGAACCAAAAAAAAACUCAUAUAGUUAUAUGACAACCACCAAGCAUAUAUCAU